GGGAGGCAGCAGUGGGGAAUAUUGGGCAAUGGGCGAAAGCCUGACCCAGCAACGCCGCGUGAAGGAAGAAGGUCUUCGGAUUGUAAACUUCUUUGAUCAGGGACGAAGAAAUGACGGUACCUGAAGAACAAGCCACGGCUAACUACGUGCCAGCAGCCGCGGUAAUACGUAGGUGGCAAGCGUUAUCCGGAUUUACUGGGUGUAAAGGGCGUGUAGGCGGCUCCGCAAGUCAGAUGUGAAAUUCCCGGGCUUAACCCGGGCGCUGCAUCUGAAACUGCGGAACUUGAGUACUGGAGAGGAUAGUGGAAUUCCUAGUGUAGCGGUAAAAUGCGUAGAUAUUAGGAGGAACACCAGUGGCGAAGGCGGCUAUCUGGACAGUAACUGACGCUGAGGCGCGAAAGCGUGGGGAGCAAACAGGAUUAGAUACCCUAGUAC
rnacentral:rRNA from 1 species